AAAGGGCGUCAAAGCCAGAGCCGUUCAAUUCAUCUUUAGCUUUAUCUAAUUCAAUAGGACCAGUUGGGAAGUAGAAGUCUACACUAUCAGCCAUACGCUCGCGAAGAGCACGAAGCUUCACAGAAAAAAGUUCACCAGACUCGGCGUAACCGUGAAUACAAAGAAUCUUGGAUUUUGUAGCAGACUUCAUUUUGAGAAUGUUGAGGAGUGAGAGUGUAUCUAGUCAAUGAAACAGAGAAUUAAGAAAAAACUGUAACGAGACUUGUUAGAAGGUAAGAA